CCAAAUUAGUGACAGAGAUGGAAGU
rnacentral:snRNA from 1 species